rnacentral:misc_RNA from 1 species
UAUGAACUCAACAUGAAACUUCAUUGUUGCUUUUACUAUGCACCUUGUUCUAAAACAAGAAAAUGUUGUAGUAAAUAUGUAUAUACCUUUUAGUAAACAAAAUAUUGAGAUACAAAAGCUCAUCAAUCCUACAUGAGACUUUGUAACUAUACCUAUUAUAAUUAUGUUUCUGUCUUCUUCCCUACAAUUGUCACUGCCUCUUCAAUUGCUUGUGCAAAAGUUGCAAUCUUGUAAGUGA